rnacentral:misc_RNA from 1 species
AAAGUCGUAACAAGGUUUCCGUAGGUGAACCUGCGGAAGGAUCAUUAGUAUUCUUGGAGCUUCACGCUCCGGUUUCAAUACCUCUACACCCCUCCUGUGAACACGUCCUUGUUGCUUCCGAGGGCCAGCAGGUUGAGGGAGACGCCGAGUUAGUCUCCGUCGCCUUCACCGGCCACUCGCUCCUGCGGGUGAGAGCCUUCGGGUGGAAGACAAAAACCCGAACCAUGCAAACCAAACCGCAGUCUGAAUGGCUUGUAGUCAAAAUGAAGUUUAAAACUUUCAACAACGGAUCUCUUGGUUCUC